rnacentral:rRNA from 1 species
UACGGAGGGUGCAAGCGUUAUCCGGAUUCACUGGGUUUAAAGGGUGCGUAGGCGGAUAGGUAAGUCCGUGGUGAAAUCCUGCAGCUUAACUGCAGAACUGCCGUGGAUACUAUUUAUCUUGAAUAUCGUGGAGGUUAGCAGAAUAUGUCAUGUAGCGGUGAAAUGCUUAGAUAUGACAUAGAAUACCCAUUGCGAAGGCAGCUAACUACGCGGUAAUUGACGCUGAGGCACGAAAGCGUGGGGAGUCAAACAGG